UUGCCUCAUAGCUCAAUGGCAGAGCGACGCGCUGUUAACGCGGGGGUUGUAGGUUCAAGUCCUACUGGGGCAGU
rnacentral:tRNA from 1 species